rnacentral:rRNA from 1 species
UACACACCGCCCGUCACACCAUGGAGUCAGUUGCUCCAGAAACGGCUGCGCUAACCCGCAAGGGGGCAGGUCUUUAAGGAGUGACUGGUAACUGGGUGUA